rnacentral:lncRNA from 1 species
CAAAGGCGUACAGUACUUCCAACCGGCUGCUAACUGGGUGGGAAUUUGCAAUCUUUGUUUCCCCCUCCUCCAACCUCCCUAGCUGCAGGCAGAUGUGAUUUUGAACUCUCUCUCUCCCCCUCUUUCUUUACUUUCCCCUCCUCUCUCCUGUACAGAGAGGGAUUUCUUUUUCUACUUCUCUCCCUCGAUUCCAAGACUCAAGAAGUCUUUUUCUACCUUGGGAGGAGCCAAGCCAAGAUGUUCAAGUUUGAUUCCUGUUCAGUAGAAGCCUUGGAAAUACAGGGAAGCACCUUCAAGCAGAACAGAAGCAAGAUUAGGAACUCAUGCUGGAAUCUAGUCUCUGGGCCUUCAGGACCUCUGUUCUUGAAGAGCAGUUAAGGGUUUGAGGAGAAUCAAGAAGAACAAAGGAGGAAGAAGCUCCACGAUGUUCUAGAAGUAAUGGAGGAGAACAGCUUGGCAAAAUUUAUGAGCUGUCUUCUGUGGAGAGCAGAGACCCAGAGGGUCUGGGUUUGAAUCCUGACUCUCCUAGUCACACCAGAUUGUGUGACCCUGGGCAAGUCACUUCCCUUCUAGAGGAUUUCCACUUCCCCACGUGGCAAAUGAAGAAGUUGCACAAGCCGAUCUUGAAGGGUUCCUUUUCUCUCUAAACACUGUAGAUCCCAUGAAUGCUUUGGAAGCCUUACCUUCAAACCUGAUCUCUUCAUCCUGGGACAUCUCUUGCUAAUUGUUUAUGUCAGUGUUAGCCCUGAAUGGUUAUUUGUGAUGUGUGGAAGAGCGAGGACAAGGAGUCUGGGUCAUUUUGAGCAGUUAUUAUUGUUCUAUUUGGUAUUGUAAGUGGUCAUUCCAUGAUUUGCUUCAUUACAGACAGUGCAUUUAGUUAAGCGUGUGGAUUUAAUGGGGGUCCAUUCUCAGCAGGCCAGGAGGAGCUCAGCUAUAGAAUGAUUACAGAUGCAAACGUUGGGGGAGGGGGAUAAGGAACACAGCAGGAGACACAGGGACUCAGGGUUAGACUUGGGGGUGGGGAGGCUGUUGGGUCCAUUCUCCUACCCUUUCCUGAGAUGAUGAGCGAGGGAUCCCAAGGAAGCUGACUAAUGUCAGGGAGGCCAGGACCCUCAUUACUGAGACCAGUGGCACAUUUCUUCUCUUUCCCUUUGGGGGAUAUUCCUUGCAUGUUCUAAAGCCCGUCCAGUAGAGACACAAUCUUUCCUGGAGGCCCAUGGGAGGGCUUUGUGAAGCCACUAUAUCCACCUCAUAGAGAACUAAAAAUGACCACAAUUAAAGCUGAAAGAUGACAAAGCACCUAAGGUCAAAAUCACCAGCUCUCCCUCCCCAUGUAUUUUUUUUAAAAGAUACAUUGAAGGAAGCAGGUCUCCAGGGAUGAUUUGGUUACCCAAAAAAAUAAAAAAAAGUUUUAGAAAACCGAA